UAAAUAAAAGAAAGAAUGUUGUGGGUGUACAGGACAUUUGGAACAUUUCAUUUUUGUAAUUGUGCAUUCUGAGCUAAGAGCCACCACAAAAGAUUGGUCUUUGGAAAUUGAGGGGGUUUGUGGUUGUAUUUCAGGGUUGCAGACCAGCCAGGAUUCUGUUUCAAUUUUCCCUAUUAGUCCUCAAGUUCUAGAUUGAGGCCCCCAAAACCCUGGGACAUCUGACCAGAGACAGCUGCCAACAUUUUCCCAUGAUGAGCAAUGGAAUGUGUAUUGGCCGAGCACGUUGAUUUGCAAGGUGUUUAUAAAGUUUCUUGAUCCUUUUUUCCACCUGGCUUGCUUCCGGGACCCAGUUGGUGUAUGGACUGCAGUGUGCCACUGGGAGCAAAGAAAAGUGGUGGGGUCUCCGAUCUCAAGUGAAAUUAUCCCGAGCUUUUUCAUGGUUGGAGAGACCAACUUGGAUUAGUUCCUGGAUGGAAAAGAUGAGGCUUAAAGACCUGUGGGACAUCCUGAGAUCCUUAUAGAAAAAGGUCAUUGGAACAUUAUCUGUCAUUUAAAAUGGAAAAAUUAAAUAAGU
rnacentral:lncRNA from 1 species